rnacentral:rRNA from 1 species
UACGUAGGGUGCAAGCGUUGUCCGGAAUUAUUGGGCGUAAAGAGCUCGUAGGCGGUUUGUCGCGUCUGCUGUGAAAACUCGGGGCUUAACUCCGGGCCUGCAGUGGGUACGGGCAGACUAGAGUGCGGUAGGGGAGACUGGAAUUCCUGGUGUAGCGGUGAAAUGCGCAGAUAUCAGGAAGAACACCCGUGGCGAAGGCGGCUCUCUAGUACGGUACUGACGCUGAGACGCGAAAAGCGUGGGGGAGCAAACAGG